ACAGAAAGGUUGCUGGGAGGCGCCAUACCGAGUACAGCCAUGGAGACCACUACUGGAUGCCUGUGCUAACGCAGAGAUUGAGAGACCCCAACAUAAACCCUUGCUUGAAGGAAUCUGAUGCUUCUACCAGAGGAAUGGAUGAAAAUGACCAUGACAGGGAAACAUGUUCCAUUUAUUUAUUUAUUUAUUGGUGGUCUUGCUGUGGUGUCCAGGCUGGCCUCAAACUGCUGGACUCAAAGGAUCCUCCUGCCUCAGCCUCCUGAGUAACUGUAAUUAUAGGCCACCACUCUAGGCUCUACUUCUUGGAACGCAAAAACUACCGAGAGUCUGGAAUUUUAUCAUGGUCCGAAGAAUACAGGAUGGAGUGAAGCCAUCUGUGUCCAUAGCAGAGAGAGAGAUGAAAUCUUGGGAAAAUGGGAAAGAAGCCCUAUUGAAUGUUUGCAUUAAAAUUGUUUUUAUAAAUUGAUGCCCACAUCAACAUGGACAAAUAUCAUAAUCGUUAUGCUGAGUGAGAGAAAACAGACUCAAAGGGCUACAUACUGUAUUGAGAGGUGACAGCGUGCUGGCAGUCCUCAGAGCCCUCGCUUGCUCUCGGCACCUCCUCUGCCUGGGCUCCCAGUUUGGCGGCACUUGAGGAGCCCUUCAGCCCACCACUGCACUGUGGGAGCCCCUUUCUGGGCUGGCCAAGGCUGGAGCCCACUCCCUCAGCUUGCAGGGAGGUGUGGAGGGAGAGGCGCGAGCGGGAACCGGGGCUGCGUGAGGCGCUUGCGGGCCAGCUGGAGUUCCGGGUGGGCGUGGGCUUGGCGGCCCCGCACUCGGAGCAGUCGGCCAGCCCUGCUGGCCCCGGGCAAUGAGGGACUUAGCACCCGGGCCAGCAGCUGCGGAGGGUGUACUGGGUCCCCCAGCAGUGCCAGCCCACCGGCGCUGCGCUCAAUUUCUCACGGAGGCUUAGCUGCCUUCCCGCCGGGCAGGGCUUGGGACCUGCAGCCCCCCAUGCCUGAGCCUCCCACCCACUCCGUGGGUUCCUGUGCAGCCUGAGCCUCCCUGAUGAGCGCCGCCCCCUGCUCCACGGCGCCCAGUCCCAUCCACCACCCAAGGGCUGAGGAGUGCGGGCGUAUGGCACUGGGACUGGCAGGCAGCUCCACCUGCAGCGCAGGUGUGGGAUUCACUGGGUGAAGCCAGCUGAGCUCCUGAGUCUGGUGGGGCCUUGGAGGACUUUUAUGUCUAGCUCAGGGAUUGUAAAUACACCAAUCGGCACUCUGUAUCUAGCUCAAGGUUUGUAAACACACCUAUCAGCACCCUGUGUCUAGCUCAGGGUUUGUGAGUGCACCAAUCCACACUCUAUCUAACUGCUCUGGUGGGGCCUUGGAGAACCUUUAUGUCUAGCUCAGUGAUUGUAAACACACCAAUCGGCACUCUGUAUCUAGCUCAAGGUUUGUAAACACUCCAAUCAGCACCCUGUGUCUAGCUCAGGGUUUGUGAAUGCACCAAUCGACACUCUGUAUCUGGCUACUCUGGUGGGGCCUUGGAGAACCUUUAUGUCUAGCUCAGGGAUUGUAAAUACACCAAUCGGCACUCUGUAUCUACCUCAAGGUUUGUAAACACACCAAUCAGCACCCUGUGUCUAGCUCAGGGUUUGUGAGUGCACCAGUUGACACUCUGUAUCUAGCUACUCUGGUGGGGCCUUGGAGAACAUUUAUGUCUAGCUUAGGGUUUGUGAGUGCACCAAUCGACACUCUGUAUCUAGCUGCUCUGGUGGGGCCUUGGAGAACCUUUGUGUCGAUACUCUGUGUCUAACUAAUCUGAUGGGGCCAUGGAGAACCUUUGUGUCUAGCUCAGGGAUUGUAAAUGCACCAAUCAGCGCCCUGUCAAAACAGACCACUUGGCUCUACCAAUCAGCAGGAUGUGGGUGGGGCCAGAUAAGAGAAUAAAAGCAGGCUGCCCGAGCUAGCAGUGGCAACCCGCUCGGGUCCCCUUCCACACUGUGGAAGCUUUGUUCUUUCGCUCUUUGCGAUAAAUCUUGCUACUGCUCACUCUUUGGGUCCACGCUGCUUUUAUAAACUGUAACACUCACAGCAAAGGUCUGCAGCUUCACUCUUGAAGCCAGCGAGACCAUGAGCCCACCGGGAGGAACAAACAACUCCAGACGUGCUGCCUUAAGAGCUGUAACACUCACCGCGAAAGUCUGCAGCUUCACUCCUGAGCCAGCGAGACCACGAACCCACCAGAAGGAAGAAACUCCGAACACAUCCGAACAUCAGAAGGAACAAACUCCAGACGCGCCACCUUAAGAGCUGUAACACUCACCGCGAGGGCCCAUGGCGUCAUUCUUGAAGUCAGUGAGACCAAGAACCCACCAAUUCCGGACACAGUAUGAUUCCAUUUAUGUGACAUUCUGGAAAAGGCAAAACCUUAAAGUUACCAGCUGCUGAAAUUGGGGAUGAAAAGUGCUGACAAAGAGGCAUGAGUUAUAAUUGAAUCUUGAUUGUGGUAGUACUUAUACUAUUGUGUAUAUAUGUCAAAAGUCAUCAUAUUGUACAGUUAAAAUAAUUUUAUUGCAUGGAAAUUAGGCCUAAAUAAAGUUUUUUUUUUUUUUUUUUUUUUGAGAAAGGGUCUUACUCUGUCACCCAGGCUGGAGUGCAGUAUCAUGAUCUCAGCUUACUGCAACCUCCUCUGCCUGGGCUUAAGUGUGAUUCUUGUGCCUCAGCCUCCUCAGGAGCUGGGACUACAGGUGUGUGCCACUACGCCUAGCUAAUUUUUGUAUUUUUAAUAGAGAUGAGGUUUCACCAUGUUGCCAGCCUGGUCUCGAACUCCUGACCUCAGGUGAUCCACCUACCUUGACCUCCCAAAGUGCCAGGAUUACAGGUGUGAGCCACUGUGUCUGGCCAUAAAUUUGAUUUUAAAACUAAAAAAAACCUGUUUGUAUAACUUUGAUGCAAAUAAUUUUUUUUCUUUUUUUCUUUUUUUUUUUUUUCGAGACGGAGUUUUGCUCUUGUGCAGGCUGGAGUGCAGUGGUGCAAUCUCAGCUCACUGCAACCUCUGCCUUCCGGGUUCAAGCGAGUCUCUUGCCUCAGCCUCCUAAGUAGCUGGGAUUACAGAUGCCCGCCACCAUGCCCAGCUAAUUUUUGCAUUUUUAGUAGAGACGGGGUUUCGCUAUGAUGGCCAGGCUGGUCUCGAACUCCUGACAUCAGGUGAUUGACCUGCCUCAGCCUCCCAAAGUGCUGGAAUUACAGGCAUGAGCCACUGUGCCUGGCCAAGAACAUUGUUUUAAUGUCAACUGACAAUAAACUAUCUAUCUGAAUCCUAAACCCAGCUCAGAAGAUUUUAAGUCAUAUGACCUUGAUUGUUAAAUAUUAUUCUAUUUGAAUAAAAAAUGGAUUGUUUC
rnacentral:lncRNA from 10 species